AUGGAUUGUCUUGAGGAAAGCUGUCAUCCACAAUCUGACCUUUGGCAAGGUUAUGCACUAAGGGCAGUUGAUAUUUUCCUUGAUUCGUUGUUGAUUUUCUGGGAGCCUCAGUUUCAUCCCUUGAUACGCGAGAGCCACAAGAAGCUACUGCUAACAAGUGCCCGUGAGUUAGCUGAAGGGUGUGCAAUUAUUCAGCCAUUGGAACCUGACCCUGAUGAUUUCUUGGCGCAUUUGCGGCCAUAUGCAUCGGUAUACUUCGAGAGUAAGAAGGAACAGUCUGGGUAUUAUACAGCUAAAAAACAAGUACGUCUGCAUGAAGAGUUUGAUAAUUAUAUGGAUAAUUAUUUGGCGACAUGCACACGGGAUGAUGCUAUUGACUUCUCUUCUUUCAUGGAAAGUGCUCGCAGAGAUGAUGAGAGUGGUCAGUUUGAAGAACUGGAUAACGAUCUUGCCAAAAUGUCCUUUGAGCGAAUGACCAAGAUUGCUAAGCGGGAACACGAAAUGAACGGUUACACUCAGAGCUUGAGAGAUCUUAAUGAUGAGGUGAAAGGUCAACUUGCAAGUUUGAUGGAUCUGCUGGAUGAAGAAGGCUUUUUCAGUAUUGAUUCUUCUUCUAUUGAUUGGGAAAAAGAAUCGUUUAAGAAAUUAUUGGAUACAUUUAAUGCUUUGACUGGGCAUUGCUUUGAUGGAUGUUAUGCAAUCCGAGCAAUAAUGGAUCUUCAAAAAUUCUUACCAAGAAAGGAUGAUGAUACAUCUCAUGACGCUGUUAAAAUGGGUUGA
rnacentral:rRNA from 1 species